GCUGGGUGUUCUCUCCUGAGCGCGAAGCGGGCGGGCGGUGCUGCUUGGGCAGGAGCCGCUCGCCAUUGAUGACCGUUCUCGGGUCCCUUGGUGGGCUCGAGAGGGAGAGAACACGGGCUGAGUGGU